CAGCCGCCGCGGUAAUACGUAGGGCGCAAGCGUUAUCCGGAAUCAUUGGGCGUAAAGAGCUCGUAGGCGGUUUGUCGCGUCUGCCGUGAAAGUCCGGGGCUCAACCCCGGAUCUGCGGUGGGUACGGGCAGACUAGAGUGAUGUAGGGGAGACUGGAAUUCCUGGUGUAGCGGUGAAAUGCGCAGAUAUCAGGAGGAACACCGAUGGCGAAGGCAGGUCUCUGGGCAUUAACUGACGCUGAGGAGCGAAAGCAUGGGGAGCGAACAGGAUUAGAUACCCCUGUAGUCCCUGUCUCUUAUAC
rnacentral:rRNA from 1 species